rnacentral:rRNA from 1 species
GACGAACGCUGGCGGCGUGCUUAACACAUGCAAGUCGAACGGAAAGGCCCUGCUUUUGUGUGGUGCUCGUUUGGCGAACGGGUGAGUAACACGUGAGUAACCUGCCCUUGACUUUGGGAUAACUUCAGGAAACUGGGUCUAAUACCGGAUAUGAUCUUCUGCUGCAUGGUGGUGGUUGGAAAGUUUCGGCGGUUGGGGCUCGACUCGCUGCUUAUCAGCUUGUUUGUGGGGUAGUUGCUUACCAAGGCUUUGACGGGUAGCCGGCCUGAGAGGGUUAACGGCCACAUGGGGACUGAGAUACGGACCAGAAGGGUACGGGAGGCAGCAGUGGGGAAUAUGACAGAAUGGGCGGAAGUGUGAUGCAGAAAUGCCGCGUGCGGGAUAACGGCCUUCGGGUUGUAAACAGAUUUCGAAUGUGACGAAGAGUGAGUGACGGUAAUGAGUAAAGAAGCACCGGCUAACUACGUG